GACGAACGCUGGCGGCGUGCCUAAUACAUGCAAGUAGAACGCUGAAACUUGGUGCUUGCACCGAGCGGAUGAGUCGCGAACGGGAGAGUAACGCGUAUGUAACCUGCCUGGCAGCGGGGGAUAACCAUUGGAAAGGAUAGCAUAUACCGCAUAAGAGUAGACGUUGCAUGACAUUUGCUUAAAAGUUGCAAUUGGACCACUACCAGAUGGACCUGCGUUGUAUUAGCUAGUUGGUGGGGUAACGGCUCAUCAAGGCGACGAUACAUAGCCGACCUGAGAGGGUGGGCGGCCACACUGGGACUGAGACACGGCCCAGACUCCUUCGGGAGGCAGCAGUAGGGAAUCGUGGGCAAGGGGCGGAAGUCUGUCCGAGCAGCGCGGCGGGAGUGAAGAAGGAUGUCGGGUCGUAGAGCUCGGUUGUAAGGGUAGAACGGGUGUGAGAGUGGAAAGUUCACACUGUGACGGUAUCUGACCAGAAAGGGACGGCUAACUACGUG
rnacentral:rRNA from 1 species